rnacentral:tRNA from 1 species
GGUUCCAUAGUUCAACGGAUAGAACGACAGUUUCCUAAACUGUAAAUCUGGGUUCGAUUCCCGGUGGGACUACCA